AGACUCGUUUGCAUGAUAUCAGGCAGAAAAGCAUUGCCAGUUUUGCUGAUAGUUGUUUCAGUGUAAGAUCUGAGUUUCGUGGCCACUGUUCCAGUAGGUUCAGGACUAAAUUUACAUCCCACGUGGAUGUAUAUCUAGGUUGUGGUGGCCUUGCAAAACGAACACCUCGUAGGAGUCUGCAUACCAUUGCAUGUCUCCCUAUUGG